AGCUGCCACACCUGUAGUCAAUCCACCAGCUGCUGCCCAUCAACGACCAUCUUCAGCAGGGCUACUUAAUGGUGUGGCUGAGCGACAGACAGCGCUGGAGUAUUGCACUAAGCCUGGGAUUGACGGAGGAUUCACGGACACAAAGGAAGCACUUGGAGGAGAGACGGGCACUCACUACCACGCACGGGCUUACACGGAAGGAGGGACGCACUAUCACCAUCGUUGCACAUUUUGAACUGUUGUCACCUUGCUGCACUGUAAAUAAAUGCACUGUCAUUAUUUCUGA